AUUGAACGCUGGCGGCAUGCCUUACACAUGCAAGUCGAACGGCAGCACGGGGCAACCUGGUGGCGAGUGGCGAACGGGUGAGUAAUGCAUCGGAACGUACCUUUCAGUGGGGGAUAACGUAGCGAAAGUUACGCUAAUACCGCAUAUUCUGUGAGCAGGAAAGCAGGGGAUCGCAAGACCUUGCGCUGAUUGAGCGGCCGAUGUCAGAUUAGCUAGUUGGUGAGGUAAAGGCUCACCAAGGCGACGAUCUGUAGCGGGUCUGAGAGGAUGAUCCGCCACACUGGAACGGAGACACGGGCCAGACGCCUACGGGAGGCAGCAGUGGGGAAUUUUGGACAAUGGGGGCAACCCUGAUCCAGCCAUGCCGCGUGAGGGAAGAAGGCCUUCGGGUUGUAAAGCUCUUUCGGCCGGGAAGAAAUCCUAACGGAUAAUACCCGUUGGGGAUGACGGUACCAAAAGAAUAAGCACCGGCUAACUACGUGCCAGCAGCCGCCGUAA
rnacentral:rRNA from 1 species